GUUGAAGCUCCCAUUUCUCUGGGAAUUGCCUGAAGAAUUCAACAGCACAGGGGAACCCUCCUCUCAACACUUUUUCAUCAUCCUGUGAUGCUUUAACUCCUGACUUGAGUAACCAAGAAGCUCACAGCUACCUUUUCAAGAGAGAAGAAACUAACCUCAGAACUGUGCAGCUUUAAUCAUUACUUCCAAUGUGCACUCAGUCGGGAAACAUGUGUCCAGCAGUCUUCAACAAGCCCUUUGAAUUUCAACAAAGCAAAUAAUAAUUCUUGAACUUGAAUGCCAUGUGAAAUUGAUACUGAAAGACAGGAUUCAUUGCAAGUCAAUUAUUGAUCUUGUAAAGAAGAAAGAAAGUCAUGGCCAUUAGGGAUCAAUAAGUCUGCAAACAGUUCUCCAGCCCUUGCAACUCUUUGGUCACUGAAAAAAAUGAUAAAGGGCUGACUAAUAGUGACUUCAGUUUGAAGAGAUUGUUUCAUCCAUCAUACAGUACUGUCUGCUGUUCAUCAUGCAUUAGCAUAAAAAUACAGUCUUUCCAUUUCUUCCCGUCUUCGUUUCUGAAGGCUCCGAUGUCAUACUCACGCAGACCACUGACAAUUGAUACUUGAAGAGUGAUCCGUGGAUCAACAGCGUCUACAUCACCCGGGACAUUGUUGGAAAUGUGUGUCCUCAAGGUCUACCCAGAUCUACUGAAUGGAAAUCUCUGAGAGGAGGGGCUGCUGCAUUUCAAUAAGCUCUUCAGGUGAUUGGAAUACAUUCUGAAGUUCGAGACACACUACUUUAGACAACUUCGAAUGUCCUUUUUUCCUUCCUUCAUUCUUUCCUUCUCUAC